rnacentral:tRNA from 1 species
AGUCUUAUAUUCAUUGUUAUGAUAUAAAAUUGCAAAUUUUAAGGUGUAUGAAAAUUACUAAGGCUU